rnacentral:lncRNA from 1 species
CCGAAAGACCCACCCACACCCACUCCUUGGUCGAGCCACCCGGCUCGGCAGACCUCAUCUGCCGGGGUCCGCUCGCUGGAAACUGUGCAGCGCUGAGGGCAGCUCCGGGGACUCGCCCGCCCUGCAGCCGCACCGCACCACACCGCCUCAGGCUGCGCUCCCUGAAGCAGACUGUUCGGAAGCUUCAGAGGAAAGACUGGGGGGCGCUGCUGCUACUUUCUCGUCCCCGCCCCUCGCCUGGGUGAGGAGGGCUGCGGGGACGCGGCUUGCUGCACACCAACACCCACCUCCGCGCUGAACACCCCGGAGGAGGUCUGCAGGGUAGAGGUGCAAUGAUUACGGGAGUGGAAGAAGAGCCAUAAUUUUAAUUGCACGGAGGAAAAAGCUAGCGAGGCUGGAAAAGACCCCCAAACUCAAGGCCACUCUGGCGAGAGAGCCUGGAAACGCCCAAAAUACGCCGGGUCUGGACCCCGUGUUUAAAGGACACACGUUCAGCCUUCCUCUAGUCUCCCUUGCCUCCUUCCUCUCUGCUUUGCUCGGUGUGAAAAUGGACCCAGAGACUCGGAGCUUUGGCGAAAUUCCAGAGAGUCACGUGGGGAAAGGGAGAAGCGAGGAGGGAGGUGAGGGGAGGCCGGGAGAGCAACCUGAUCCCUUUAUUCAUUCUGCUGGAGUUCAGAUUGGCUUUGUCUGGGGAGGAAUCAAAAGUGCUCAUACCGGGGACGGAGGGGGUGGAGAUAGGUUGCACAGUUCUUGCUCAGGCACACCGGAAGGCAGAUGAACCGUGUCCACAUCCCUUGUUAGGGGAGGAACCGAUUCGGCGGGCUGGGGGAGCGUGUGCCCACAUCAAAGGCCCUGGGGCUACCUCCCACCCCCACAGCCCGCCACUCCUGCUGAACUAAGUGCGUCCGGGGGACCUGAUUGAUCCUUCUUCCUCGCUCUGGGACCCUCAGGCUGUUGCAUCCUGGCUUUUACCAGCAGCCCGGGAAGAUCUUGGUGUGUGUGUCCUAGGCGGAGCCUGAGAGCAAAUGCACCUUUCCCUUUCCCUAGGAGACUCUGUCAGUGGAACACAACGCGGUCUGGGAGCUGUGGGUCCAGCUGCGCCCCCAGAUGCCAAUGGCUGGGAAAGUAACAUCAGGACACGGCCGACUGGGGCGCGCACUUGAAGAGCAGAGGCCUUGAUUCCCCGCCAGGACUGACUGACGGCAGCUAUUUUUAUAGGACCGAAUAAAAAUAGCUGGUCCACGUUUAAUCGUUUUAUAAGGGAACAGUUGCAUCAGAGAGAUGCUGACUGGGUUCUGAUUGGCCCAGAGAAGAAACGUCUCGGGUCCCUCAAUUGAGUCGGGAUGGGCGAAACUGUUGGAGGGGAAGCAGUUGCAUGAGCUGUGCUGGCGGGGGUCCCACUUGUUUCCAGUCUUCACGAACACCAUGACGCGGGCCCACGUUCUAACGUGCACUGACGCCACUUGGAACAAUUCACUUUUCCGAAUAACUGGAAUAACUUGAAACUGGCAGGUCCCUGUCAGUGUUACUAUUCAGCCAGAACAAAGGAGAACCUCUGACAACCUGGCUCUGAAUCUUAAGUAUUUGGAGGACCCAGGGUUUGCACAUUUCGCCCUCAGUCUCUCUGUUGGGCUGUGGUCAUUCUAGGGACAGAGGUUGUAUCAUCUUUGUAUAAUUGAAGCACAUAGUAGGUGCUCUUUAAACAUUUGUUGAAAUAAUGGAUUAAGUGCCUGAGAGCAGCGGCCAUAUCAAGGGGAGCUGCGGGCCUUAACCUCCUCCCAAAAAAAGACCCCUCCCUUUUUAUUUAGAAAGUAGGGCCUGUGCGGUGGCUCACGCCUGUAAUCCCAGCACUUUGGGAGGCCAAGGCAGGCAGAUCACGACGUCAGGAGUU